GACGAACGCUGGCGGCAGGCCUAACACAUGCAAGUCGAGCGCGCCUUCGGGUGAGCGGCGGCCGGGUGAGUAACGCGUGGGAAUAUGCCCUUCUCUACGGAAUAGUCCUGGGAAACUGGGGGUAAUACCGUAUACGCCCUUUGGGGGAAAGAUUUAUCGGGGAAGGAUUAGCCCGCGUUGGAUUAGGUAGUUGGUGGGGUAAUGGCCUACCAAGCCGACGAUCCAUAGCUGGUUUGAGAGGAUGAUCAGCCACACUGGGACUGAGACACGGCCCAGACUCCUACGGGAGGCAGCAGUGGGGAAUCUUAGACAAUGGGGGCAACCCUGAUCUAGCCAUGCCGCGUGAGUGAUGAAGGCCUUAGGGUUGUAAAGCUCUUUCAGCUGGGAAGAUAAUGACGGUACCAGCAGAAGAAGCCCCGGCUAACUCCGUG
rnacentral:rRNA from 1 species